rnacentral:rRNA from 1 species
AUGCAACCAAUGAUUGAUAAUGGUGCUGCAAGGCUGAAACUUUGGAAAGGCAGGCUCAUGAACAGAAUUAGAAGGCUGCAGCUAAUUAACUCAACGCUCACAGCAACUGACAUCUUCUUCCUCACCUCCUUUGCGCCUCAUAAAUGGGCCGUAAAGAAGUUUGACAGGCCGAGAAGAAAUUUUCUUUGGAACGUGGAGGAGGAAACGCACAGUGGGAAAUGCCUUGUGAACUGGCAGCGUAUUUGUGCCCCAAAGGAUGUUGGAGGCUUGGGCAUCAAAGGUAUUCAUGCAUAUAGCAGAGCCCUCAGACUAAGAUGGGCCUGGUAUGAGUGGGACUCUAGUCCAAGGCCAUGGAAGGGCACGCCCAUCCCCUGUGACACCAUUGAUCGGCAGCUAUUCCAAGCAUAUACCCGGAUCUCAGUUGGCGAUGGGAAACAAGCUCUAUUUUGGACUGAUCGAUGGUUGCAUGGCAUGGCUCCUAAGGAUUGCUACCCACUUCUGUUCUCCCUCUCCAGACAACGACCGUGGCCCAUGCUAUAA